GAGAGCACAACUCCUGGCUGCAGCUGAAGAAGGAGGACGAUUGAUUUCUGUCAGUUCGCUCUAACGUUACAGUUUGCUCCACUUUGCUCUGUGGUUUAUAUGUUUUCUUCUUACCAUUGCUUGUAAGCUGGAUUGAGUAAGAUGGAUCAUCUUUAAAGGAACCAGGAGUUAAGGCAGAUGUGGAGGCACAAUGGGUGACACCAGACACACACCAAGCACAUUGUUCGGACAUUCAAUCAUGACAUGAUCCAUGUGGAUGCUGUCCAUUGAGGAAAGAGUUUGUUCAGAGGUUUCUGGACAGAAUUAAUCCCAAAGAUGGGAAAAAGUGCACAUCCACACAAGGAGCAAGCAAAAAGACAAGGAACUUGGUGCAGAGAAAAGCUGUGGCCAUUAACCCCCAUGUGAACAGCUUCAUGCAGUCCCUGAUAGAGUUUGAAUGGGCGACUUCAAACUAAAGGCCAGUGUCAGUCUGCCACAGUUUAAUGCAUUUAUUUUUAGUGUUCAAUAAAAUUCAAAUAGAAUAUUUAAAACUAUGGGCCAGUGUUCCUUUUACCACAGUUAAAUGUUACCUUUUAGUUGAUGAUGGACUUAAAACUUCAAACUAUGGAACAGUGUUCUUUUUACCACAGUGAAAUGUUACCUUUUAGUCGAUGAUGGACUUUAAACUGAAAACUUCAAACUAUGGACCAGUGUUCUAUUUGCCAGAGUUAAAUAUAUUACAGCAGGGGCCUCAAAACUUGUUUAUACUUUAUAAUAUUUUAUUUUAUUUUACUUGUUUAUUAUUGUUUAUCUUGUUUUAAAUGAUUGUUUCAAUUACAUGUUUUUUUAAUAAAAUUUUUGAUAUAAACAUUGCUUGGAUUGCCUUUUAAUUCAUAAUGUCAUGUCAAGGAUAGCAUUUUUUUACUAUAUUAAUAACUAUAGAUUUAAACCUAAAUAUCUAGCUAUAAUACAUUAUUGUAUUAACUGUAAUAAGUAAUAAAUAGUAUUUAUGGGUCAAUAUAGACAUUACAGUAAAUUACUGUAAAAAUAGGCUAUUAUUGUAAAAUUACAGUACAGUACUGCUUUGUAACUAUACGGUACUAGUUUGUGUACUGUAAAACUGGAUUACAGUACAGUACUGUAGAACCAAAAUACAGUAACUUACUGGCAACCGUGCUGCCAGUACCGUACUGUAAAAAUACAGGGAAAUCG